UUCUUAGUUUUCAGAGUCAGUGUGAUGUUUGGUUCUUGAAUGUCGGCAUUGUCGCCAUCAGGUGUUUUUUUUUUUUUUUUUUUUUUUUUUGUGUAAUUAUUUUUUUAAGUUUCUCUGAAUUCUAUUUGAUUUAUGGUAACGUGGGAAUUUACAAUUUCUAAAAGAAGAUUUUGGAGAAAUUCGGGCAAAAUGUAUGCUAGUUAAUAGCUUGAAAAUGCGAAACCAUUGAUAGCAAUAGAAAUUCUCUCGCAUUUUGUAGCGAUAGAAUUUCUGAACUUCUUAGUCCAUUUACGCUAUGGUAUCUAGAAAUUUGGAGAACCACAAGGAAUUUUAAGGAUGGUUAAAAUUAGUGUAUGGGGGGCAGAUGAUCAAGUCUACCAUGAUCUGUAAGCAUACAUUUUCUUUUCUUAAUUGACACUGUAAAUUUUUCAUGCUCUUUAGGAUGCUUUUGGAACGCAUAAUGUUGUUUGGAUAAUUCUUUCGGGGAAGGAAGCUUGACUGUCAAUAGAAAUCUGACAGAAACUGGCAACCGAUGAGUCAUUAAGAAGACGAUAACCUUCAAAGCUAUAUCUCCAAUACUGACCCAGAUGCUUAUUUGAAAAAUUAGGCUUUUUCUUAACUUUUUGUAUGUAUGUCUUUAAUAAAUUCUGAAAGGUAUGCUCCCUGGUCGUUGAUGGAUGAUUGGAUCUAUAUAAUGUUCUUUUUCUUUUUGUUGUAUUCUUCCUAGCUAGUUGCUGAAAGGCAUAUUCUAAUUUCUCCUAUCUGGCAAUGAUUUUAUAUAUCUGAAGUUGUUUCUAGGUGUAUUUGGGCAUGGAUCUUCCUACAACUACCGUGGAACAUGUACCAGAGACAAUUGAAGACGAGCAAAAGGGAAGCCCAUUGUUCAAGUGCGAUCUCCAUGACACAGAAAUAGUUCACAAGAUAGCUCAAGUGCUCAUCCUAGGAUUAGCUACAGCUUGUGUUGACAACACAACAGGUGAUAUGUUCAGGAGCCCCGCUUCUGUAGCUGUUGAUACCAGAAAAGAACUGGUGGACUAUCUUACUCAGAGAAGUGGAAACUUCGUCACUGAAUUUAUUAUCUUAAAAGGUGGUCCAGAGGCAGAAGAAUCUGACCAUCCCUCCGAUAUUAUUUCCAAUUUUGUUGAUGACUUUUCAAAUUCAAAGAGGAACUUGUUUAGUCGGGUUUCAGGAUGGCUACUGAGUGAAAAGAGAGAAGACAAGGUAGAUGAUUUUAUUCAAGAGAUGGAAAUAAAUGGUUUUUGGUUGUUGGAUGGGAGGGAAGCAAUUGCACAGACUUUGCUCAAGAAUGUUGACUUAAAGAAUGCAUUUCACUGCAACAUGAAAUUCAACUCUUCUGAAGAACUUGAUGCACAUGUUCACCACUGCAGCUUUAGAUCUAUGACCUGCACAAAUGAGGGUUGUAAUGCCAGAUUUUGUGCGCGUCAUUUGGACAAGCAUGAUUCAGUUUGUCCCUUCAAGAUAAUUCAAUGUGAGCAGAAGUGCUCAGACAGGAUCAUCAGACACGAGAUGGACAGGCAUUGCAUAACUGUCUGCCCAAUGAAGCUUGUGAACUGCCCUUUCUAUGCAGUGGGUUGUCAAUCAACGAUACCUUACUGUAUGAUCGAACAACAUUGUUCAGAUACCCUCAGUUCGCACUUGCUAUAUAUUCUUCAAGGCAUUCACAAAGAAGCAUCUAUGGAGGAUCUGAAACGACGGGUGGAGCAACUAGAACAGGUGACCUUUAAGGUGUAUUAGGAUGGAGAGACAAACUUCUUUUCAAUGGCUUCCUAUAGCAAUGUCAAGACCUUCUAAAACUUUCUAUUCACCUGUUUUCCAUUAGAACAAAAAUGUGCGUUGACACAGAGUCUUUAUCUGCUUGGUUUUGUAACGAAAUUUUGCCAUAAAAUGAGCAGCAUCAUCUGGUCAGCUAGCAGAAGCUCGAGAUCUGAGAUCUUUAACAUCCAAAGUCAAGUACAUCGAAGCAAAGUGGGGGCCUGCAUUCGAAGUUCACAUCACGAACAAGGAUAUUGAAGAGAAUGUGGAG